GUCCUUGGUUUGGCAGCACAAGUACUAACGUUGAAACAAUACAGAGAAGAUUAGAAUGGCCCCUGCACAAGGAUAACAAGCAAAUUCAUGAAGCAUUCCAUAUUUUU
ensembl:snRNA U6 U6 spliceosomal RNA